rnacentral:rRNA from 1 species
GAUGAACGCUGACAGAAUGCUUAACACAUGCAAGUCAACUUGAACUUCGGUUUGGGUGGCGGACGGGUGAGUAACGCGUAAAGAACUUGCCUCACAGAUAGGGACAACAUUUGGAAACGAAUGCUAAUACCUGAUAUUAUGAUUAUAUGGCAUCGUAUAAUUAUGAAAGCUAUAUGCGCUGUGAGAGAGCUUUGCGUCCCAUUAGCUAGUUGGAGAGGUAACGGCUCACCAAGGCGAUGAUGGGUAGCCGGCCUGAGAGGGUGAUCGGCCACAAGGGGACUGAGACACGGCCCUUACCCCUACGGGAGGCAGCAGUGGGGAAUAUUGGACAAUGGACCAAGAGUCUGAUCCAGCAAUUCUGUGUGCACGAUGAAGUUUUUCGGAAUGUAAAGUGCUUUCAGUUGGGAAGAAAAAAAUGACGGUACCAACAGAAGAAGUGACGGCUAAAUACGUG